CGCGGGGUGGAGCAGUCUGGUAGCUCGUUGGGCUCAUAACCCAAAGGUCGUUGGUUCGAAUCCAGCCCCCGCAACCA
rnacentral:tRNA from 3 species